CCUACGGGUGGCAGCAGUGGGGAAUAUUGCACAAUGGGGGGAACCCUGAUGCAGCAAUGCCGCGUGGGUGAAGAAGCACUCCGGUGCGUAAAGCCCUGUCAGCAGGGAAGAAAAUGACAGUACCUGGACAAGAAGCCCUGGCUAACUCCGUGCCAGCAGCCGCGGUAAUACGCAGGGGGCAAGCGUUAUCCGGAUUUACUGGGUGUAAAGGGAGCGCAGGCGGCGUGGCAAGUCAGAUGUGAAAACCCGGGGCCCAACCCCGGGAGUGUAUUUGAAACUGCCAUGCUGGAGUGCCGGAGAGGUAGGCGGAAUUCCUAGUGUAUCGGUGAAAUGCGUAGAGAUGAGGAGGAACACCAGUGGCGAAGGCGGCCUACUGGACAGUGACUGACGUUGAGGCUCGAAAGCGUGGGGAGCAAACAGGAUUAGAUACCCGAGUAGUC
rnacentral:rRNA from 1 species